GCCCUUGCGGAUCGCGGCCGCUGCAGAGUUUGAUCCUGGCUCAGAACGAACGCUGGCGGCGCGCUUAACACAUGCAAGUCGAGCGGCCGGGGGUUUCCCCGGCAGCGGCGGACGGGUGCGUAACGCGUGGGAACCUGCCCCUGGGUUCGGGACAACCGCGGGAAGCUGCGGCUGAUACCAGAUGAUCCCUGCGGGGGAAAGGCCUUCGGGUCGCCCGGGGAUGGGCCCGCGUCCGAUUAGGUAGUUGGUGGGGUAACGGCCUACCAAGCCUGUGAUCGGUAGCCGGUCUGAGAGGACGAUCGGCCACACUGGGACUGAGACACGGCCCAGACUCCUACGGGAGGCAGCAGUGGGGAAUCUUGGACAAUGGGCGCAAGCCUGAUCCAGCGACGCCGCGUGGGUGACGAAGGCCUUCGGGUUGUAAAGCCCUUUUCCCGGGGACGAUGGUGACGGUACCCGGGGAACAAGCACCGGCCAACUCCGUGCCAGCAGCCGCGGUAAGACGGAGGGUGCGAGCGUUGUUCGGAAUCACUGGGCGUAAAGGGCGCGUAGGCGGCCGUGCGUGUCGGGUGUGAAAGCCCGGGGCUCAACCCCGGAACGGCACCCGGGACUGCGCGGCUGGAGACCGGGAGAGGAGGGUGGAAUACCCAGUGUAGAGGUGAAAUUCGUAGAUAUUGGGUGGAACACCGGUGGCGAAAGCGGCCCUCUGGUCC
rnacentral:rRNA from 1 species